rfam:Ixodes scapularis strain Wikel colony gcontig_1108378300098, whole genome shotgun sequence.
CCCCGGUUAGCUCAGUUGGUAGAGCGCUCCACCUAUAAUGGAGAGGUCCCGGGUUCGAUAUCCUGACGAGGCG